rnacentral:rRNA from 1 species
GGGGAGAUUCAUCGUCAGCUCAUUUUGUAUAUAUAUGAGGUAUGAUAUGGGUUACUACUUGUAGUAUUGCCUGUACGUUCUUGUAUAUUUUAUUGCAAGAUGUUGUCGGCGUGCACUUCUCCCCUAGUAGGACGUCGCGACCCGUUGAGUGUCGGUCUACGGCCCAAGUGGUAGCCUUUAAUUUUUUAUUAAAUUGAAGACCCUUGGUGUUUCCUGACUGGCUACUCGGCGGUACUCGUACGGUAUUAAGCCGCAUUUAUGCGUUCAUACCCGUCGCAAGCGAGGUCAAUUUUUGGCAGUACGGACCUAGUGCCGUCGCUAUAAUUGAUCAGCUGUUGGCUGUACGGUGUUCUAGAACUGGCUUGAAAUAUAUACCGGUCAGCGAUG